CCUACGGGUGGCAGCAGUCGAGAAUCAUUCACAAUGGGGGAAACCCUGAUGGUGCGACGCCGCGUGGGGGAAUGAAGGUCUUCGGAUUGUAAACCCCUGUCAUGUGGGAGCAAAUUAAAAAGAUAGUACCACAAGAGGAAGAGACGGCUAACUCUGUGCCAGCAGCCGCGGUAAUACAGAGGUCUCAAGCGUUGUUCGGAAUCACUGGGCGUAAGGCGUGCGGAGGCUGUUUCGUAAGUCGGGUGUGAAAGGCGCGGGCUCAACCCGCGGACGGCACAUGAUACUGCGAGACUAGAGUAAUGGAGGGGGAACCGGAAUUCUCGGUGUAGCAGUGAAAUGCGUAGAUAUCGAGAGGAACACUCGUGGCGAAGGCGGGUGCCUGGACAUUAACUGACGCUGAGGCACGAAGGCCAGGGGAGCGAAAGGGAUUAGAUACCCCUGUAGUC
rnacentral:rRNA from 1 species